AGGGAUAUAGCUUAGUGGUAGAGUGCUUGCCUAGUAUGCAAGAGGCCCUGGGUUUGAUUUCUUGCACCUA
rnacentral:tRNA from 1 species